rnacentral:ribozyme from 12 species
ACACACACAAACCAAAAAAAAAUAAAAAAUCGCAAAAACGGUUGAAGCACGUGAGGAAGAGUGCAGAGUGUAUCGAUGGUCUCUCUGGUUCCGGAUAAUGUUCGUUUUUCUUAUUUUUUUCGGUUUUUUUUCCCGGUUUUCAUUUCUUUCUUUGCG